CCUUGACAUACUAAGAACUUUCCAGAGAUGGAUUGGUGCCUUCGGGAACUUAGAUACAGGUGCUGCAUGGCUGUCGUCAGCUCGUGUCGUGAGAUGUUGGGUUAAGUCCGCAACGAGCGCAACCCUUUUCCUAUUUGCCAGCGGGUAAUGCCGGGAACUUUAAGGAUACUGCCAGUGACAAACUGGAGGAAGGCGGGGACGACGUCAAGUCAUCAUGGCCCUUACGGCCAGGGCUACACACGUGCUACAAUGGUCGGUACAAAGGGUUGCUACCUCGCGAGAGGAUGCUAAUCUCAAAAAGCCGAUCGUAGUCCGGAUCGCAGUCUGCAACUCGACUGCGUGAAGUCGGAAUCGCUAGUAAUCGCGGAUCAGAAUGCCGCGGUGAAUACGUUCCCGGGCCUUGUACACACCGCCCGUCACACCAUGGGAGUUUGUUGCACCAGAAGUAGGUAGUCUAACCGCAAGGAGGACGCUUACCACGGUGUGGCCGAUGACUGGGGUGAAGUCGUAACAAGGUAGGCGUAGAUGA
rnacentral:rRNA from 1 species